rnacentral:rRNA from 1 species
AUCAACGCUGGCGGCGCGCCUAACACAUGCAAGUCGAACGAGAAAGUGGGGGCAACCUCGUGAGUAAAGUGGCGUACUGGUGAGUAACACGUGGAUCAUCUACCCCGAAGUGGGGAAUAACGCUGGGGAAACCGGCGCUAAUACCGCAUAAUCCGAGAGGGCAAAGGAGAGCAAAUUCGCUUUGGGAGGAGUCCGCGGCCGAUUAGCUUGUUGGUAGGGUAAUGGCCUACCAAGGCUGUGAUCGGUAGCCGGUCUGAGAGGGCACACGGCCACACUGGCAACUGAAACACGGGCCAGACUCCUACGGGAGGCAGCAGUGGGGAAUCUGCACAAUGGGGGAAACCCUGAUGCAGCGACGCCGCGUGAGCGAUGAAGCCCUUCGGGGUGUAAAGCUCUUUCGGCAGGGACGAUUAUGACGGUACCUGCAGAGCAGCUGCGGCUAACUACGUGCCAGCAGCCGCGGUAAUACGUAGGCAGCAAGCGUUGUUCGGAGUUACUGGGCGUAAAGGGUGUGUAGGUGGCCCUCUAAGUUCCGUGUGAAAUCUCCCGGCUCAACCGGGAGGGUGCGCGGAAAACUGGAGGGCUAGAGUGCGGGAUGGGAGAGUAGAAUUCCUGGUGUAGCGGUGAAAUGCGUAGAUAUCAGGAGGAAUACCAGUGGUGUAGACGGCUCUCUGGACCGCAACUGACACUGAGACACGAAUAGCGUGGGUAGCAAACAGAUUAGAUACCCUGGUAGUCCACGCCCUAAACGAUGCAUAUUUGGUGUAGGUCAUUCAGUUGAUCUGUGCCGGAGCUAACGCGUUAAUAUGCCGCCUGGGGAGUACAGUCGCAAGGCUGAACUCAAAGGAAUUGACGGGGCCCGCACAAGCGGUGGAGCAUGUGGUUCAAUUCGACGCAACGCGAAGAACCUUACCUGGGCUCGAACGGCUCACGAACGUCCUUGGAAACAGGGAUUUCCCGCAAGGGACGGGAAUCGAGGUGCUGCAUGGCUGUCGUCAGCUCGUGUCGCGAGGUGUUGGGUUAAGUCCCGCAACGAGCGCAACCCCUAGUCACUAGGUUGCCAUCAGGUAACGCUGGGAACUCUAGUGAAACUGCCAGUCGUAAGACGUGAGGAAGGAGGGGAUGAUGUCAAGUCAUCAUGGCCUUUAUGCCAGGGCUACACACGUGCUACAAUGGGCGUACAAGGGUCUGCAAGCCGUGACGGUGAGCUAAUCGCAAGAAACGCCGGUCUCAGUUCGGAUUGGAGUCUGCAACUCGACUGCAUGAAGCUGGAAUCGCUAGUAAUCGUAGGAUCAGCAAUGACGGUGAAUACGUUCCCGGGACCUUGUACACACCGCCCGUCACAUCAUGGAAAGCCGGCUGUACCUAGAAGUCGCUGGUAACCGUAAGGAGGCAGGCGCCUAGGUAACUGGUAGUGAUUGGGGUG